rnacentral:rRNA from 1 species
UACGAAGGGUGCAAGCGUUAUUCGGAUUUACUGGGCGUAAAGCGCGCGCAGGCGGAUUGAUAAGUCAGAUGUGAAAUCUCGGGGCUCAACCCCGAAACUGCGUCUGAAACUAUCAAUCUAGAGUUAUGGAGGGGGAAGUGGAAUUUCGCAUGUAGGGGUAAAAUCCGUAGAGAUGCGAAGGAACACCAGAGGCGAAGGCG